rnacentral:pre_miRNA from 14 species
CCUCCGGGUGUGUGUGUGUGUGUGUGUGUGUGUGUGUGUGUGUGUAGCUCUGCCCCCAACAUGGGGCUCAAACUCACCACCC